CGACACGUGUCUCUCUUUAAUGAAACGCUGUGCUGCAUCACAGUUCCGUGCGGGCCUUUAUGUUUUCGGAUGGGCCUCGGUUUGUUCGUCGCGGCCCGUGAAUAGCAUCAGAAAGCGACAUCCCGCUUGACCUAACUAUCGCCUCCGUUCGUCCAACUCUGAUUUCGGCGGCGAGAAGAACGAUCGAUCAUUAUCCAUCGCUCUGUAACGGACCUCAUCUUUAAUGGCAUUAAUACGGACGCUCAGAUCGAGCCCUUCAAUGCGUCGUCUCCUUUGGCGUAAUCUCCUCUAUAAAUUGGGUGUUUUUUUCCGAUUUGAAGACCGGGAAGUGUUCAUCUGUUGUGGAGGCUAGGCUGCUGAGGUACUGGGAGGCUAGGAACGUUAAGCGGGGUUGGGAGCUUAUGUGGGUGGAUAUGCUGUUGGUCGAUGUUAAUGCAACCAUGAUGCAGGCCACAAUCAGCGCUCACCGUGUCCCACGGUACCAAGAAAGACUUACUGCCGGUGCAAUGUAUUCCAUGGCUGAUUUUGAUGUCGCUAGAUGUGCUCAGAACUUCCGACUUUGUGAUUCUUCAUUGAUGAUCCGGUUUAAUGAGUCUACUUCUUUUGACGAGAUAGAUGACCGGUCUCUACGUUGCCUGAGGAAGCAUUCUGGUUCCGUGACCAGUCGGAGCUGAUUGGUUUGGCCAAUACAAGCACACAGUUACCAGACAUCAUAGGAGAGAUCCUUAGCGUCAAGAGUACUGUUACUGACCCUCCGGAGGAGAAGAAUCGUGCUACGCCAUGACGAUCAACAAGAGCCAAGGCCAAAGUCUGAAACAAGUUGCUUUAUAUCUUCCUCGCCCUGUUUUUACUCACGAUCAGUUGUACGUUGCUAUGUCUCGACUCUCGAGUAACAACGUUUAUAAGGAGAUCUUCAAGGAUGUUCAGACAACUCAGUGAAAGCAACCGGCCCUACUGCUCGGAUGUUUUGGACACAAUUCACGAAGACUACAAUCAUCAUCCAAUCCAAUGCUUCGGCAAAAACAUCAGUUGCAAGACUAUAAUCCCAAUUAUUUUGACUCUUCACUCUGUUUUCUUUUUACAUUUCCUCCGCAUACGACUCUUAUUUUAAACUACGAGUUUUUCUUAUGAGAAAAAAUAUACCCUUA